AUGAACGCUGGCGGCGUGCCUAAUACAUGCAAGUCGAGCGAACGGACGAGAAGCUUGCUUCUCUGAUGUUAGCGGCGGACGGGUGAGUAACACGUGGAUAACCUACCUAUAAGACUGGGAUAACUUCGGGAAACCGUAGCUAAUACCGGAUAAUAUUUUGAACCGCAUGGUUCAAAAGUGAAAGACGGUCUUGCUGUCACUUAUAGAUGGAUCCGCGCUGCAUUAGCUAGUUGGUAAGGUAACGGCUUACCAAGGCAACGAUGCAUAGCCGACCUGAGAGGGUGAUCGGCCACACUGGAACUGAGACACGGUCCAGACUCCUACGGGAGGCAGCAGUAGGGAAUCUUCCGCAAUGGGCGAAAGCCUGACGGAGCAACGCCGCGUGAGUGAUGAAGGUCUUCGGAUCGUAAAACUCUGUUAUUAGGGAAGAACAUAUGUGUAAGUAACUGUGCACAUCUUGACGGUACCUAAUCAGAAAGCACGGCUAACUACGUG
rnacentral:rRNA from 1 species